UUCCGAGGAUGGGACUAUUCACAUAUGGCAUGCAACAACCUAUAGGCUUGAGAACACAUUAAACUAUGAUCUUGGAAGAGUUUGGGCAAUUGGAUACAAGAAAGGAUCAAACCAGAUUGUAUUUGGUUGUGACAAUGGAACUAUUAUGGUUAAUAUGAAAAGUACUUGAGGUUUUCUGAACCUACAAGUUGAGGAGGAAG